UGAGGAAUCUUGCGCAAUGGGGGAAACCCUGACGCAGCAACGCCGCGUGAGUGAGGAAGGCCUUCGGGUCGUAAAGCUCUGUCAGAUGGGAAGAAAUGGGUGGGGCUAAUAUCGCCCAUCCUUGACGGUACCAUCAGAGGAAGCACCGGCUAACUCCGUGCCAGCAGCCGCGGUAAUACGGGGGUG
rnacentral:rRNA from 1 species